rnacentral:rRNA from 1 species
UACGUAGGGGGCAAGCGUUGUCCGGAAUCAUUGGGCGUAAAGCGCGUGUAGGCGGUUCGGUAAGUCUGCUGUGAAAGUCCAGGGCUCAACCCUGGGAUGCCGGUGGAUACUGUCGGGCUAGAGUGCGGAAGAGGCGAGUGGAAUUCCCGGUGUAGCGGUGAAAUGCGUAGAUAUCGAGAGGAACACCUGAGGUGAAGACGGGUUGCUGGGCCGACACUGACGCUGACAGCGCGAAAGCCAGGGGAGCAAACGGG